CCCUGGCACAGCCCCAUGGUGGUAGGGAGAAGGAGCUGGUGGGAUCGUGCCAUGGCCUGGGCCCCUCUGCUCCUCGCGCUGCUCGCCCAUGGCUCAGGUUCCCUGGUCCAGGCAGCGCUGACUCAGCCCCCAUCGCUCUCAGUGGAGCCAGGAAAGAACGCCCAGAUCACCUGCUCCGGGGGCAGCAACUGGUAUGGCUGGUACCAGCAGAAGGUGCCUGGCGGUGCCAUUGUCACUGUGAUCUAUAAGGACACCAACAGACCCUCGGGCAUCCCUUCACGAUUCUCCGGAUCCAGCUCUGGCUCCACGGCCACGUUAACCAUCACUGGGGUCCAACCCGAGGACGAGGCCGUCUAUUACUGUGGGAGCUGGGACAGCAGCAGCAGCUAUGGUGUCUGCUGGCAAUGAGUAGUAGAAAGUGAGAUGCAUACUCCAAGAUCAGGGGGAGGUUUGUGACCCUCUUUGUCCUGGCUGAGCAGAGCUUUGGCUGUGGGGCUGAGGCAAGUUCCUGUCCCCUCUGCACAGCCAGAGCUGUGAACGUCCUCCCUUUCCUGUCCCAAUGAAUUGGAGGGGUUACUCUGUGGCUUGGGACCGUUGUCCUCCUCCCCACAGUAUUUAUAGCGUGGCACCUUCUGCCACCCUGCUGCCUCUUGCUACUGAGGGCCAUGUCCUCCUGCUGAUGCCAGAGCUGCCUUUCUGCUGGGAUGUGUUCAGCUGGGCCCCGCUCCCAAAAUGUGCCUGCGACCAUGGACAGGAGGGAGUCGGAGCAUUUUUCCUGCAGACACAAUGGGGCACAUGCAGCUGAGAUGUUCUCUCACACUACUUAGAGUCCUAUUUGGUUAUUUCUGCCCCUGUCUUGCAGUGGCUCUGGUCUUUGCCGUACCUGUGU